rnacentral:tRNA from 1 species
GAGGGCACAGCUCAGUGGUGGAGCGCGUGCUUAGCACGCAUGAGGUCCUGGAUUCAAUCCCCAGUACCUCUG